CAAUAGCGUAUAUUUAAGUUGUUGCAGUUAAAAAGCUCGUAGUUGGAUUUCGGAUGGGACUUGCCGGUCCGUCGUUUCGAUGUGCACUGGCCAGUCCUAUCUUGUUGUCGGGGACUAGCUCCUGGGCUUCACUGUCCGGGACUAGGAGCUGACGAGGUUACUUUGAGUAAAUUAGAGUGUUCAAAGCAGGCCGUACGCUUGAAUACAUUAGCAUGGAAUAAUGGAAUAGGACGUCGGGCCUAUUUUGUUGGUUCUAGGACCGUCGUAAUGAUUAAUAGGGACAGUUGGGGCCGUUUAUAUUCCGUAGUCAGAGGUGAAAUUCUUGGAUUUACGGAAGAUAAACUACUGCGAAAGCAUUCGGCAAGGAUGUUUUCGUUAA
rnacentral:rRNA from 1 species